CGCACCAGUUUUUCGGCCUUGGGCCAUAGCUCAACCCAACAACAGACCGCUAAGCCCAACCCACCUGCUCUCUCUCUCUCUCGGGCGCUCUCGGUCUCGGCCAUGGAGGCCGCAAGCAAUCAGGAGCCGGGGAGAUGCGGCGGCGACGACGACGAGGCGAAGAGGAGGGAGGCAGAGCUUGCGUCAAGCAGGCUCCUCGACCCGGGGUUCAAGCCCUCCAAACUAUCCCAGGACCGGCUCGACAAGUUUAAGGUGCCCUUCUGGCUCCUGGAAUUACACAAGAAACGGUUACAGAUAACUGAAAAGCCGAAGUAUAAAAGAAAACCGAAAGGAACCACUGAGAGAAGUAUCAAAGUAACCAGCAAUUAUAAAUUCACUGAUAAGGAUGCAUCUGCUGAUAGUUCUCCAAGAGAUGUGCAUCAUAUGUCAUCAGUUACAGGAAUUCAAGGGGUACGCCUGUUUAUACUGAAUGCUGGGCGAUAUUUUUUACAUACAUUCUGUAAGCAAUGCUUUUGCUUGAAUCUUUCGACAACAAUAAAUAAACAGCCAAAAAAAGUGAAUACAGUAGCGAUGAUCUCUAUUGCUAUAGCAUUUACUUCGCCAUUCCCAGUAAUCUUUGGAUUGGUCUUAGGCAUUGGAGGUUCUAGCCAUUUUCGUGGCAAAGCACAAACUAUUUGCACAAUAUAUUUCACAGGUAUCAAGUGCUUUAUAGUUACCACUUUAAUGCAGUUGAGCAAUGAACUAAGUGCCUGGUUGGUUGGGUUCCAAAACUUGCCCAACCAAAAUCAUGGCAACCCAAAACCUAGGCUUGCCAAAGUUAGAGCAAAAAAUGUAGGCAUGCAUUUGGUUGAGUGCCAAGACAUGGCAGCGAGCACCUUCCCUCCUGUUAGAUUAAAGAAGUUUCUAGUGACUUGCCAAUAUUUUGGUCAUAGUCAUUGGUGUGCCGUGUGCCAUUUUUUGGCAACGAACCAAUUGGUAACCAAAUUUUUUUUAGGCAUGCCUUAAUUUUGGUUGGGCAAGUUUUGGGACCCAAACAAGCAGGCCCUAAAUGGUAAAGUGACUUAAUGGUUUAGUUUACCUUUUAGGUAAAAGCCCAAGAUAUUAAAAGUCUAUUAACAUCAGAAUGUCAUCAAGUAAUUCUUCAACAAUCACAUAGAACUAACUACAUACAAAUAAUCUUUUGUUAUGCUAUUUUUCUGGUGUUAUUUGACUUGACUAAAUGGAAGGGUUAGAAGGCAAGGUAGGUGGACAAUAUCGGCUUCGAGCUCUGGUAUACAGGGACAACUGUAGACAGAAAUGGACGUGAGAAGACAAGAAGGAUCCUGCAUCAGGCCUGUCCUCGAGGAACAAAAGGAAACUACAUUGGGGGCUUGACAUUAAAGAACGAUGGGAAAGAAAGGCAAACAUGUAAAAAUAUCUGAAGAUCCAACAACAAAAGCAUAUCCACACCGCACUCAUUUGAAAUUUGAAAGCUGAGGGACAAAACAAAGCGGCCGACCUUUUCCACGGAUCAUCAUGUUGCUGGUAAAGGUUUGUCAGCUAGCAGAACUGAUCAGUAAGCUAGUAUCUAAUUUUUCAGUGUUUUGUCUAACGUUUUCUCCAGACGUUUGGUUGGGACUUUGCUCUGUUGUAUUGUCCGAUCCAAACUUGCAAAGUUCAAGUGCGAUGAUAAUUUGUUUAUUGCUGUGUGAUAUAGUUUGGGUUUGUUUGUCCUCUUUUUGUGUGAGAAAAGGUACUGAUGGUGCAACACAGGCCCAUGUGCACAAUGGAACAUAGUUGUUGCUGAUGAUACUAGUGUAUAUAGAAGAUUAUUUCUCA